rnacentral:rRNA from 1 species
UGAAAUUGAACGCGCUGUGAAGAUGCAGUGUACCCGCGGCAAGACGGAAAGACCCCGUGAACCUUUACUAUAGCUUGACACUGAACAUUGAGCCUUGAUGUGUAGGAUAGGUGGGAGGCUUUGAAGCGUGGACGCCAGUCUGCGUGGAGCCAACCUUGAAAUACCACCCUUUAAUGUUUGAUGUUCUAACGUUGGCCCCUUACCGGGGUUGCGGACAGUGUCUGGUGGGUAGUUUGACUGGGGCGGUCUCCUCCCAAAGCGUAACGGAGGAGCACGAAGGUUAGCUAAUCCUGGUCGGACAUCAGGAGGUUAGUGCAAUGGCAUAAGCUAGCUUGACUGCGAGCGUGACGGCGCGAGCAGGUGCGAAAGCAGGUCAUAGUGAUCCGGUGGUUCUGAAUGGAAGGGCCAUCGCUCAACGGAUAAAAGGUACUCCGGGGAUAACAGGCUGAUACCGCCCAAGAGUUCAUAUCGACGGCGGUGUUUGGCACCUCGAUGUCGGCUCAUCACAUCCUGGGGCUGAAGUAGGUCCCAAGGGUAUGGCUGUUCGCCAUUUAAAGUGGUACGCGAGCUGGGUUUAGAACGUCGUGAGACAGUUCGGUCCCUAUCUGCCGUGGGCGCUGGAGAAUUGAGGGGGGCUGCUCCUAGUACGAGAGGACCGGAGUGGACGCAUCACUGG